rnacentral:rRNA from 1 species
AUUGAACGCUGGCGGCAGGCCUAACACAUGCAAGUCGAGCGCGCGGCGGACGGGUGAGUAAUGUAUGGGGACUGCCCGAUAGAGGGGGCUAACUACUGGAAACGGUAGCUAAUACCGCAUACUAUCGGAUAACCCAUAUGGGAUUAGCUAGUAGGUGAGGUAAUGGCUCACCUAGGCGCCGAUCCCUAGCUGGUCUGAGAGGAUGAGCAGCGACGCGGUGUCAGAGACACGGCCCAGACUCCUACGGAGUCAGCAUUGGAGAAGAUUGCACAAUGGGCGCAAGCCUGAUGCAGCCAUGCCGCGUGUAUGAAGAAGGCCCUAGGUUUGUAAAGUACUUUCAGUCGGGAGGCGUUACCGACAGAAGAAGCACCGGCUAACUCCGUGCCAGCCGCCGCGGUAAUUC